CAUUAGGAGGACUGAGCAAUAUUAGUCUCGCUCUGCCAGAACUUCCUCCAAAGCACGCUGAAGGAGUCUGGCUACUCCACACAGCAUUCGG